GGAUGGGGCCAGGCACCCGCGGUGACACCCGCAAGGGCAGGGCAGGGAUUUGCCGUGAGGCUUGCUUCUUGGGCACCUGCAGCUGUACAAAAGCCGGGUGACCUGUGCACAUCUGCGCGUCCGGGGCCAGGUGUGGUGUGGGGACACUGAAUCCACUGAAAAGGAAGUGUGCUGGCCGCGUGCCAGAACCCGGCAGGGGGCAUGUCCCAGGAGGAACGGACCCCUCAGGGGUCUGCGUGGGCAGCCGAGGCUGAGAGCUGCCACACAGAUGUCCUGGGAUCUGUCGCCCCAGGGCUGCCCCUCAUCACUGCUGGCAGACGGCUGGGGUCACAUCACCCAGGAUGGCCCGGGGAGCUCCAGGCCGCAGCAAUGUGGAGCCUGAUGCAAUCCCUGCCGUCCUGCACCGGCGGCCAGGCUCAGCCUGGACUCUGCCCUUCCCGGCCUCCAGCUGCCCCGCCCCCACCGGUCCCUCGCCCCGGGCCUUCCCCUCCCACCUCUCAAACUCCAGGGCCUGGAGCAGUGUGGCGUCCUGCGGUACAUCGCAGGACCACUGGCUGGCCCGCGGGUUCCCGUUCUGGGCGGGAGGAGAGGACAAGGAGAGGGGAGGACGGACAUGAGAAGGACAGGACCUCCCUCCUCGCAUCGCCCUCCCCAAGCAGAGACGUCCGGCAGCCAGGGGUCCCUGCAGCUUCCCUCUCCCGCCCGCCCGGUGCCGAGCCAAGGUCCUGAGGCUCGGCAGGUGUUGGCGGCACGCAUCUGGCAGACGCACCUCCACUCGUCUGUGCACCACCCCGCUGUUUGCGGAGCACCCACUCUUCUCCAGGUGCUGUUCCAGGCGACCCCCACGGGCAGCUGCUCCUCCAUCCUGGCCUGGCCGGCGGGGACACAGCAGACACAUCACAGAAGAGGAGCAAGCGGUGCCCGGCUGAGGAGCCGCCAGGGGAGGCGGCAGAGACCUGCUCUUCGGAAUCAGCGUCUGUCCUGUGUCAAGGGCUCCCGGAGGCCGGUGUUGGGGCAGGAGGGGGCCAGGGGGGCCCUGCUGGGCGUGUAACUCUGCAGCCCACCCCCAGCUGCGUCCAGAGAAACCCGAACGAGGAAAGCAGUGCGAGCUUUCUGCAGCCGCCUCCCGGGAACCAGCCCCAGGCCCGUCCUCACGACGGACGGCAGCUCUGGGACCGGCGCGGGGACAGCCCCGUGCAGCCCCGACGGGGCUGGUCCGCGCCACGUGCCACGAGGAAAGCCUGGCGGGACACUGCACGUGCUCAGAACACGGAAAAUCAAGACUCACAGAGCUAUAAAAAUGAAGAGGUGUUAACACUUUGCUCAAGGAGGGAACCGGGCAGAUGUUAGAAAGUUGAGAAGAAAAUUAAUUAAAAGACACUCUUGGGGGGCGCCUGGGGGCUCAGUCGUUUGAGCAUCUGACUCUUGAUUUUGGCUCAGGUCAUGAUCCCAGGGUUGUAGGUUCAAGCCCCAAGUAGGGCUUUUUGCUGGGGUCGCGGAGCCUGCUUAGGAUUCUCUCCCCCCCUCUCUCUGCCCCUCCCCUGCUUGUGUUCUCUCUCUUUCUCUCUCCCUCUCUCAAAAUAAAUACAUAAACUUAGAAAAAAUACUGAAAUGGGUAAGUAGGUGGAGGAAAAGUUGGGUUUUCCGUGGGUGGAGGCAAGGUCAGUGGAACACGGUGGGUAAGAAAGAAUGUGCGUGAUUGUCCAUCACGGACGACUUCCAGAGAGGGUCCUCCUGGGGGGGAGGAGCCCCGCAGGGGGCACCUCUGUCCGGCUUCACCGUGCACCCUGCAGCCCGGCCAGGAUCCCGCGCACAGCCAGGACACGGACUGGGUGUUCAGCCGGCCCCUCUCUGACUCGACUGACACGUUGAACCGCUUACGUUUAUAGAAUUGUAGCUCCGUGACAGGCAGGGGCCGCCGACACAGGCCGCCAGGCUGCUCACUGCGCUCCACGCCGACUGCUGUCCUCGCCUGCUGGUUCCCUGUGUGUGUGGCUCUGGAAGCAUCGACCUCUGUGGUGACCUUCAGACCCACCCAAGAUACUUCGUAGUUACAGAAGUCUGCGUUAAGCUAAAAACUUUUUAUUUUCGACUGCACACGAAAACCCCUGUGCUCCUGUCCCCACCCCCACACACAGUAUUUUGUCAUGAUUUGUAUCUAUUUCUGUGGCAUAUAUUUUAACAUAUUUGUUGGUUAUGGUUAUUUCAGAUACGUUUGCUUAUACUUUUUUUUAAUGUUUACUUAUUUUUGAGAGAGAGAGACAGAGCGCAAGCAGGGGAGGGGCGGGAGAGGCAGACACAGAAUCCAAAGCGGGCUCCGGGCCCAAAGUGGAGCUCGAACUCAUGGAUCGUGAGAUCAUGCCUGAACUGAAGUCACCCGCUUAACCGACUGAGCCACCCAGGCGCCCCGUUUAUACUUUUCCUGCUAGACUUAGAAGCGGUUCACCAGCACCCCCGCGGUGACGCAGUGCCACGUGUUUGUCUAUGGAUUUCCCCGCAGCCGUGGGUUUCACGCUUCCUCGCGCUAGUGUGUUCUUCUACACUGUGAUUCCAAUUUUACAAAGUCCAAAAACAAGCAAAACUGAACAAUACAGCUACAUACACACGUACACACAGACAGAUACAUACGUGUGCAUAUUACAUGUUCACCAGCAUUGCUUUGUGGAAGCCAGUGACCCACAUAACUUCGUGGGAGCGUCUGACAGACACGACGCUUUCUGAAGGGAGCCAAACACAGUGGGCUCCGUACUACCGGCUUUUACGAAGCUCAAGGCCAGGCCACCCUCACGUACAGAGACAGAGACCAGGACAGUGGUUCUCCGGCAGGGAGCGACCGGGGCACCGGAGAGCUUCUGGGGUCCGGGAACACCCACGUCCUGCACGGAGCAGGGUCACCCAGCUGAACACAUCUGUAAAACUUAUCCUUGAGAUUAGGGCCCUGGGGCGCCUGGGUGGCUCUGCUGGGUGAGCGACCGACUUCGGCUCAGGUCAUGAUCUCGUCAUUCCCAAGUUCAAGCCCCAUGUCGGGCUCUGGGCUGCCAGCUCGGAGCCUGGAGUCUGCUUCACAUUCUGUGUCUGUCUCUCUCUCAAAAAUAAACACUAAAAAAGUUUUUAAAGAAGAUUAGCACAUUAACUGUGGGUCAGUGACGCCUGAAUUAAGAGUUAAAGCCCAGGAUCGAGGUGCGGAGGGGCUGAGAGCCGGACCGGCAGUGGCGGCUUCAGGGGUCUCGUGAGCUCAUCACACCUUUAUCUAUGUGCCACAGAGAGCAUUUUAUAUGUAUCGAAUCCUAAUGAAAAGGUUUAAAAAAAAUUUUUUAAACAUUUUUAUUUAUUUUUGAAGGAGAGGGAGAGACAGAUCAUGAGCAGGGGAGGGGCAGAGAGAGAGGGACACACAGAAUCUGAAGCAGCUCCAGGCUCUGAGCUGUCAGCACAGAGCCCAACGCAGGGCUCGAACCCACGAACCGUGAGAUCAUGAUCUGAGCCGAAGCCGGACGCUCAACCAACUGAGCCACCCAAGUGCCCCUGAAAAUGUUUUUUUUUUUUUUUUUUCCUGAAAACGUUUUUAAAGCGAACAUAUAGGAAUGUACAAAAGUACUUUUUAAUUUCUCAUGUGCAGCGCUUCUUUUCCCUUUGUCGUGAAAAUUUACAGGCUUUAGUGAAAGUCUAAUGUGCAGCUACAUAAACAGCACAUAGAUUAAAAAAAUUUUUUAAUGUUUAUUUAUUUUUGAGAGGGAGAAGGAGAGACAACAUGAACAGGGGAGGGACGGAGAGAGAGGGAGACGCAGAAUGUGAAACAGGCUCCAGACUCCGAGCUGUCAGCACAGAGCCCGACACGGGGCUCGAACUUAUGAACCUCAAGAUUGUGACCUGAGCCACCCAGGAGCCCUCCUCCAAAUGUCUUUACAGUGGAUUUGUUCAACCAAAGACCUGGUCCAGGACCACAUGUCUGUGUUUGUAAAUCUUUUCUUUUUUUAAUUCUUAAUUUACAUCCAAGUUAGUUAACCUACAGUGUAGUAGUGAUUCCAGGAAUAGAAUUUAGAGACUCAUCACUGACAUAGAACACCCAGUGCCCAUCCCAACAAGGGUCCUCCUCAACGCCUCGGUCCAUUUAGCCCAUCCCCCGACCCAAUAAAUCUUUUAAUCUAUGAUAGCCCCGUUCC
ensembl:lncRNA